rnacentral:lncRNA from 1 species
AGGAUCAGUAGAGGAGUGGAAAGGGAACAGUGGGAGGGAAGAGGGGAAGGGUACAGGUAAAUACUGAGGACUUGAUUGGAGUAAAUUAUUUCAUACAUUUAUAGUUAUGUCAAAAUGAAGUUGAAUGUAUGUAUAACUAUUAUGAAACAAUAAAACAAAGACAGUAUUUAAGAACUGACAACAUGGAGCAACAUUCUGAAAGUAACUCCUUGCUAAAGAAACAAUGAAAAUUGAGGGGGAAAAGAAAGCAGAUGAAAUGCCAAUCACCUGCAGAGUUUACAAAAGGUGUUACAAAACCAUCUUACAAAAAGAACGUGUAGUUUGGGCUGGGGAUGUGGCUAAAGCAUAGCCCGCUCGCCUGGCAUGCAUGCGCCCAGGGUUUGAUCCUCAGUACCACAUACAAACAAAGAUGUUGUGUCCGCCGAAAACUAAAAAAUAAAUAUUAAAAAAUUCUCUCUCUCUCUCUUUAAAACAACAACAACAACAACAAAAACUUGCAGUUCUAUAAAAAAUUUAAAUUAUCCUAGACUUCAUUAGGCUUUUCAGGGAGUGAUUUAUUUCACACACUUAAAAAAAAAAAAAAAAAAGCAGUGCAGUCAAAUUGUAAUAUUUUGGUCCAGGCUCACUAAAACUCUUGAACAGCACAAACGACGUUUAGGAAUAAACAUUUGAAUUUUACUGGUUUAGCAGUGGAAAGAACAGUCUGACACUAACAGGUGACUAUUAAUAGAUUUAAGCUAUGAAGUUAAAGAGUGUGUGUCGGGUCCAGGCCCGGCCUUUGGUCAUGGAGUGUCCCUGCCAAGUCCUUGAACCCAGGAUCCUGGGUGCGGCAAGGAGAGUCAUUGGGGUUAGAAACAGAUAGCAGGAGAAAAAGGCGCUCCGGUGACAGUGCCCCCUCCCUGACCCAAUGACUCAGGGCUUUUCCCGCAUACCCACAAUCCCAUUCAGAGGCCGAGCCCAGGAGGCGGAACUGCGGGUGUCGCGCAGGCAUCCACUUAGUUCCCGGGUCGAGUAGCCCCUCCCCCGCCGGGAGGCGCAAGGCCCCAGGAAUAAAGUGGGGCUGGCGCUGCGGGUUGGCGUCCUCGCAGGGCAAUGGUGCGGCAGCGCACUGGUGCUCUCCUGCAGAAGGUGCUGGUCACCACAGCCCGGGCUGUGGUAUCCUUUGCGCUGAGCUGGGCUCCUGCCAGACCGAGCACCAAGCCUCCACCUUGGAGGUGGCCUCAGGUCCAAGUGGUGGCCUCUAGUGUGCAGGAGAGCCACUGCGCUUGCUUUACUGGGUCCUCUGCGCCAUUGGCUUCCGAUAGUCACAUCUCCGGGGUGGGGAGACAGGCCAGCGCUGGUGGCCCUCACGUCCGGCAAUCGGGUGCAUAGUGGCUGGUCUGGUGGCUGCCAUCGCGUCGCACUUGAGGUCUUGCCUUAGUCAGCUGCCUUGUCAUGUUCUGCAGGCAGUGUGCACGACCUCUGCGAAUGCCUGGAGACCGAGAAGUGCCUGAGGACAGUCAAACUCUAAACAGGAGCACAGAGCUGACAGGAAGGGAUCUAGGGGACCAGCCACUGGAAUCCUCUCAAUAGGGGAUGCCUGUUUUCCGAGAGGGGGAGCUGACAUAUUGGCCCUGCCCAAGUCCACCGCCUGCAGGGGGAACUCAGGGGCGCUCUGUGCUCUGUGGAACCCUCUGGUGGCCUGGGGAUCCUGGCAGAGUCCUGCAUUGGUGUCUGGAAAAAGAACUUAGAAUUUUGAGCCUGUAUGUCUUCCUUGAGUCUUCAGAAGUGAAUCCUAGAAGGAAUGUGUGCGCCAGGCACAUAAGGGAGGAGCAGACCCAGAAGUAUGUUACUGUGAAUAAGACCCGCGGGAAUCAAAUCUGUUUCUUGAACUGCUUUUUUUUUUUUUUUUUUAAAGAGAGAGAGAGAGAAAGAGAGAGAGAAUUUUUAAAUAUUUAUUUAUUUUUUAGUUUUUGGUGGACACAACAUCUUUGUUUGUAUGUGGUGCUGAGGAUCGAACCUGGGCCGCACACAUGCCAGGCGAGCAUGCUACCUCUACCUCUUGAGCCACAUCCCCAGCCCUUGAACUGCUUUUGCCUGCUCAGUUUAACCCUUGAUAAGGGAGUACUUUUGGAAAUGGUAGGAAACUGCCUGGAGGUUUUCCUUAGGCCAAUAGCCUCUCUUCUGCUUUUUGUUAACAUCCUGACAUCUCUCCUAAUGUUGGUUCUAACAGCUGUUUCUUGGACUUUCAGUGUUGCUCUUCCCACUGGGUUUCCAAGCAGCCAUGUGGGAGAACAUUGAAAGUUUAAACUUUGUCCACAGAAUGAUAAAGAGACCCCAGGUGAGGAUGUCAGCUCAUUUUCCAAGUGAGUAACAGAGACUGGGAGAGAUUAAAACUCUGGACCAAGAUCAUUUAACUAAGCCAGUGUUUGUCAUAGUGUGGUCCAUGGAGCAGUGUCAUCUGCAUCCCCUGGGAACUUGUCAGAAGAAGUUGUUAAAAAAGGACUUCUGCUGGGCAGGUGUAACUCAGUUUGUUUAACUCAGUGGUAGAGGGCUCACCUAGUACCACAGGGCCCUGGGUUUCAUCCUGGGAGUGGUGGGGAAUGCAAAUUCUAAGGCUCUGUAUUCUAAAAUUCAGAAAGAGGGAAAUAUUGCAGAAAAUACGUAAUUUGAGUUUUGAAAAUGCAGCCAUGAUUUAUCAUAUAUAAAUUAGCUUGUAGUUUGGUUAAAUCAACAUUAGCUACUAUUUGGGGUACUAUAUAUUACAUAUUUUCUUUCUUUCUUUUGAAAUCUGAUCUUGUGAUGUUGCCCAGGUUGGUAUUGAAAUCCUGGGCCCAAGCAAUCUUCCAGCUUUAGCUUCCUGAGUAGCUGGAAUUACAGGUGUUUAGUGCCAUGUUUAACAGGUUUAUUAUCUUUUUUUUCCUAUUUUUUUUUAAUGCUGGAGAUUGAACCCAAGGUGUGGUUUAACACUGACCUGCAUUCCCAGUAUUUUUUAUUUUUCAUUUUUGACACAGGUUCUUGCUUACUUGACACAGGUUACUUAUUUUGACACAGGGUCUUGCUAAGUUGCUUAGGUCCUCAAUAAGUGGCUGAGGCUGGCCUGAAACUUAUAUCCUCACUCCUCAGCCUCUUGAGUCACUGGAAUUUUAAGUAUACACCACUGUGCCUGGCCCAGUUGAUUACCUUCAAUCAUCUUUAAGGGGAAGAUUUAACCUUCAUAAAUACCUGUAUAUAUCUACAAUUUCAAUCAUAAGAAACAGGUUUGGUGAUUUGGGUUUGCUGGCAUGUUGUACUCUUAUUGGGAUUUUAUUACUUUGAUUAUUUCUGAGAAUCUAAUGAUCAAAAUGAAAAUAUAAAAUUUAUUGAAUUAGUUUCCCAUCUGAAUAUCAUAUGUAUUCACUCUAGAAAAAAUUUUAAAAGUCAGAAAUAGAAGGAAUUAAAAAAAAAAACUUCCAGAAUUCCCUUAUUUAAAAUACUGUUCUUUUCACAAAUAAUGUCUUGUUUAUAUCAUUGAAAUCAUAUUUUAUUAUAAAAUGUAUUGUCUACACUCUUGUGACCUUCAGUUUUAAUGACUGAGUCAUGUUUCAUUGAGUGGAUGUAAUGUCAUAGUUAGUUUUUCUUCCAUUACUAUACAUCUUGUGACCUUUAUUAAUGUUUUGGACCUGAAGUUUUUCAAACAUUUUAAGAUCAUUUUCUUAAAGACCUAUAUUUAGAAGUAUUGGAUCAAAGAGUAUGAACAUUUCUUGGGUUCUUGGUACAUAAUGUUAGGUCGUAAUAUAAAAUUUGGACUUAUUUGGUACCUUUUUCUCCUGUAGGUAUACUUUGAAUAAUAAUGUGCUAAGCCUAGAACAGAGAAAAUUUUAUGAAGAAAGUAGACUUCUUGUUAUUAGAAAUCUAGUAUCUGAUACUUAUAUUCAACACUUUAGGUGCAGCAAUACUCUUGCUUAUUUUACAAAAAAAAUGUGUUAUGGUAGUUAUGUUAUUUGCAGAGAAAUGGGUGGAACUGGAGGACAUCAUGUUAAGUGCAGUAAGGCUGACUCAGAAAGUCAAGGAUUAUUGUUUUCUUUCAUAUGUGGAAACUAGAGAGAAGCAAAGGGGUAAAGGGCCUUGCAUUCACAAGGCCAUGGGUUUGAUCCCCAGCACCACACACACGCAAAAAAAGUCUCAUGAAAAUAGAAGGGAGAUCUGUAGAGUACAGAAAGGGGCCCAUGGAAUGGAGGUAGGGAGGGAUAGGAGAGGUGCUAGGGAAUGAAAUUGACUAAAAGAUGCUCUGUGUAGGUAUGAAUAUAUCACAAUGAAUCUAAACAUUGUGUAUAGUUGUGAUUUAUCCAUAGAAAUUUAUAAAAUAUGAAUUACAUAUUUUAUUUGUAAUAGGAAUAUAAAAUUAGAUUCGCCUCUGCAUGUUCGGAUAUUUUUGAAUGACG